UGAUGAGCCAGUGGAGAUGGAGCGUGUGGAGGGGUGCAGGGCAGGUCGACAGAGAGCUGCUCUGUAACAACAGACACCAUCAUCCCUGGUCUGUUUUAACUGGGGACACUGUGGACAUCUCGGUGGCAUCAUGAGACCAAGGUUCUGAGCCAAUGUGGGCCCCAGGUUUCAGGCUCCAAGCCACUUUCCCUCUUGACUCUCCCGAAGAAGGAACCAACAGAUGUCAAGGCUAGGGACAAUCAUCUGUCAGACAACUGGGGCGGUCCUAGAGACGCGGGAGAAAUGAAAGGAAACUUCUGACAAGGAGCUCAUGAGGCAGCUGAGACAAGGCCAACCUGCAAGUGGGGGAGGACCUUCAGGUUCACGGGCUUUAGCCCUGGAGGCUGGACCCCAGGAAAGGGGCUCUGUGUGCUAGCUUCCGUGCAUGCUGUUCUGAUCACAAAGUGCCAUUGAAGUCUUCAAUCCAGU